CCUACGGGUGACAGCAGUGAGGAAUAUUGGUCAAUGGGCGGAAGCCUGAACCAGCCAAGUAGCGUGCAGGAUGACGGCCCUACGGGUUGUAAACUGCUUUUAUACGGGAAUAACGCGCCUUACGUGUAGGGCUUUGCAUGUACCGUAUGAAUAAGGACCGGCUAAUUCCGUGCCAGCAGCCGCGGUAAUACGGAAGGUCCGGGCGUUAUCCGGAUUUAUUGGGUUUAAGGGGAGCGUAGGCCGCAUGUCAAGCGUGCUGUGAAAUGUCCGGGCUCAACCCGGGCCUUGCAGCGCGAACUGGCGUGCUUGAGUCCGCGGAAAGCAGGCGGAAUUCGUCGUGUAGCGGUGAAAGGCUUAGAUAUGACGAAGAACCCCGAUUGCGAAGGCAGCUUGCUGCAGCGGAAAUGACGCUGAUGCUCGAAAGCGCGGGUAUCGAACAGGAUGAGAUACCCGAGUAAUC
rnacentral:rRNA from 1 species